GAUGAACGCUGGCGGCGUGCCUAAUACAUGCAAGUCGAGCGAACGGACGAGAAGCUUGCUUCUCUGAUGUUAGCGGCGGACGGGUGAGUAACACGUGGAUAACCUACCUAUAAGACUGGGAUAACUUCGGGAAACCGGAGCUAAUCCCGGAUAAUUUUUUGAACCGCAUGGUUCAAAAGUGAAAGAGGGCUUUGCGUUACCUUUUGAUUGGUUCCGCGCUGCAUUAGCUAGUUGGUAAGGUAACGGCUUACCAAGGCAACGAUGCAUAGCCGACCUGAGAGGGUGAUCGGCCACACUGGAACUGAGACACGGUCCAGACUCCUACGGGAGGCAGCAGUAGGGAAUCUUCCGCAAUGGGCGAAAGCCUGACGGAGCAACGCCGCGUGAGUGAUGAAGGUCUUCGGAUCGUAAAACUCUGUUAUUAGGGAAGAACAUAUGUGUAAGUAACUGUGCACAUCUUGACGGUACCUAAUCAGAAAGCCACGGCUAACUACGUG
rnacentral:rRNA from 1 species